AUCUUAGAUAACAGUUUUGAAUAGGUUGAUAUGGGUGAAGCCAUCCAAGGAACAAUUGGGUUACUCUGGUUCUGGAAGACAAAUGUUCUGGUGUUUAGUGAACCACUUUGUUUCCAGAGGAAUUGGUUUUGUUCCUGCUGGGUAAAUCUGUUUCUUUCUUAACUUUUUUAUAGUUUGGGGGAAAUCCAUUUGCUUCAUUAGUGAGCAAUUCAUCAGGUGGGGACAGCCAGCCAUCUCGCACAGAAAACCGAGACCCUUUACCAAAUCCUUGGGCUCCUCAAGCUACCACACAGAGCUCUCCAAACAGCAGCAGUAGCAACAGUGGAGAUAGUGGAGGAGGCAGUGGUGUUGAAAGCAGCAGCACCGGAACCACAGGACAAAGCUCAGCGGUGCCAAAUUUGGGACCUGGGCUAGGAGCUGGUAUGUUCAACACACCUGGCAUGCAGAGCUUGUUGCAGCAAAUUACAGAAAACCCACAGUUGAUGCAGAACAUGUUGUCUGCGCCUUACAUGAGAAGCAUGAUGCAGUCAUUGAGCCAGAAUCCUGAUCUUGCAGCCCAGAUGAUGUUAAAUAACCCUUUGUUUGCUGGCAAUCCUCAGCUACAAGAACAAAUGAGACAACAAAUUCCAACUUUCCUUCAACAAGUAAGUCAAAAGAAGAGAUUAGCACUGCACAUGAUAAUCAUAUUAAAAUGUUAUGCUGUUUAAAUGAAACUUUUCACAGAUCAUUCAUCUACAAUCUGAUCACCUCUGGUAUUUAGGAAAAGGGAUAAUUCAUCCUUUUGAACUUUCCCGUACUACGAGGAUAGCUAUCUUGUGUAUUCUU